rnacentral:lncRNA from 1 species
UAAAGGUCAGCGUGCGGGGCUGAGCAUGACUAGUGCGUUAUGAAAAAACAUGUUCCACGGAAGAAGCCCACGGACGAGAACUCCCUACCACGUCUGCUGCAUGGCGUUUGUGAAAGCAGGGUCAGAGUUCUGGACUAUUGUAGCCACCGCGGCCCUGUUGCUUUUGAUUGUCUUGGCUGAAAGUGACGCCUACAGCCCUAUCCGCCACGCAGUGCAUCAAGGUGCACGUGCUCAAAGAGGACCAUACUUUAGUGGGAGAGGAAGCUAUUCGCUUCAGGUAAAAAAGUCACGUGGUGGUGUCUGUCACAGCACCAACGAAUGCAAAGAAGAAUACUGCUGUGUGGAACGACAGCAUGUGCAAACCUGCCAACCCUACUCAAUAUUCGGUGAAAGAUGCACAAUACCACAAAUUAGAGGCGGAGGCUACCACGAUGCAUGUCCCUGUGCAGCUGGAAACCAGGCGUGUCGAAACGACACAUGCUUGUAAUGACACUGCAAGUAAUCAUAAUGGAGUGUGUGCACGCAAAUGCAGGUGCCACUAAGAAAACAGAAAAUCCAAGACUUGCAAAUUCCACGUGGUUUUCAGGAUGCCCAGCAUUGAACACGAGGCCAUCUCAACAUCUUCUUUUUCAUUUUAUGCUCUUUUAUGUAACACAGAACAGCCUGCAAGGACAAAUCCAGCUUGUUACUACUCGUUGUAAAUAAAGCUGCAACUCAAAAAAUAAUCAUAGGGGUCUGUUAUUGUCCACCUAAUCGCGAUUGUAAUUUUGCAGAAAAAAUUCAUGACACCCUAAGCGAAAUAUCUGUUCGAUUCCCUGGUUCACUUAUGUUUCUUUUAGGAGAUUUUAAUUUCCCAACUAUUGACUGGUCACGUUCCUGCCCCUUUUCUAAUCCAGCAUCUGCAGAGACUACAGGAUUUCUUAACGUUUGUGCAGAUUUUAACCUUGCACAGCUCAUUAUGAAACCAACACG